CACCGCGGUUAUACGAGAAGGCCCAAGUUGAUAAAAACCGGCGAAAAGGGUGGUUAGGGGUAAUUUCUACUAAAGUCAAACGCUUUCAAGACUGUUACACGUAUUCGAAAGACUGAGGAACCAUUACGAAGGUAACUUUACUUCCCCUGAACCCACGAAAGUUAGGACA
rnacentral:rRNA from 1 species